ACUAAUUUUUCUUUCACUAGUAAACGUACACGUGCAAUGCACGUACUAACUAAUACUCCAUAUAUAUUUAGUCAAACAUAUUUCAAACAUCAAAAUUUAAAUUGUUGCAUGUGGUGAAACAACAUAGCUCCGUGUCAAAAUGCAAAAAAGAAAAACUAAUUUCAAACAUCAUACUCCAAUAAUGGGAACAAUCCAAAGUUGCCAAUUGAAUGGUGUUCAUCUCUUGAUCAAACAGUGUCACCUUCCAUAAGAUUUACAUUGCAAACCUGGUAGACAAAUAAAAGAAAUCAAUAUCACAAGGGAUCAAUCUUCAGAACAAUUAAAUCUUCAUAAAAAAACACUUAAAUCUUGUUCGGCUCUAUGGACCACUUUAGUGAAGCGGCAAAUUGUAGAUAAUACAACAACCGUAUCAUUUUUUCUGAUGGCAAAAGAGCAACCUAUUAUUAUCAUCAUCCAGAGUGUUUGCAAUGCCAGAUGGUUAAGGACGAACAACAUUACAACAUUGGCAAGCUGACCUCAGGGUGAUCCAUCUUUUUUCAUGCCCAUAUUGGUCAUUUUCACUACACAGGAAGUAUAUUGGAUUCAUUCCCGCAAAAAAAAGUCUAUUGGAUUUCUGAAGAGCAAACACAACAAUUACUUCAUCUUCACAGGGCCACUGGGUCCUCAAAUAAUACAACUUAUACCCUGGCAUCUUUUCUUUUAUACUCCCUCCAUCUUAAAAUGUAAGACAUUUUUUAACACUAUAAAACAUCUUACAUUUCGACACAGAGGGAGUAAGGGAGUAUCUCUUAUGCAGCUACGCUACCAGUUCAGUCUAACUAAAUCUGGUCAAUUACACAAUAUGUAAAAUAUGGCAAAAGGAGCACAUACCUUCAGAUAUUUGCGAGCCAGCUUCAGCCACUAAUCUCACCAAGACUGCUUAUCAUGUGCACCUGCAGCAUUUUUCUAUAUAACAAAAAGUUUUAGAAGACCAUGAGAUUAGGCAUUUCAACCAAUUCACUUAGAAACAUAGUGAGUUUGUAGCUAAUAUAGCUUGAUGGAUUUGUGCAGCCAGUAUCGAUGGCACGCCUUGUAUACUAUGCCUAAGAAAAUAACCACAAAACAUCUAAUUAUGCCUUUUUUAGAAAAGGAGGAUGACCCCCGGCCUGCAUCUGGGAGAUGCAUGCAACCACUUUAUUAACUAUUCACAGAGAACUUACAAAGUAAUACAUCAAUAUGUCUGAAGCCGUCAUCUUGGCAACAUCCGUCGCUACUCAUAUCCAUUGAUGAAGGGGUGCAGAAAGUAUGGGCCGAAUACCUAGACCUCUCACCUAAGCAAAUAUUCAUGUGAAAAUAGAAGUUUUGAAAACCGUAAAACCAUAGGACAGACAAACUGUACCAAGACUAAGCCAAUUAACUAUUUUUCAUCAUCAUCACUCCAAAAGCCUCGGUUCUUUCCACUUUCCUUAGUUCUUGUGAAUUUAUGAUCAAUGCAUAAUGAUCAUAAUUUGGUGCACAUGAUAAUGACAUUCUACCAUGAUAUAAUAAAAAUAAUACCCCAGCAUGAAACUAACCUUAUCGUGGUCAUGUCACUUGUCCACCAGUUGUAGCCUCAUUCUUUUCCUAUAGCUAAAAUCCUGGCCUCCAAGUCCACUACAUGCUUGCACCAUAGCACCAUCCACAAGCUAUCGUGCUCCUUCCAUUGCGAGGAAACAUGAGAAAAAUAUAAGGAAUGAACCAAGGGAAGUUUAGUUCAACAUCCUCUUUCUAACCUUUUCGAAAGAAAACAUCCUCUUCCUAAUGCAAUCAGUAGCCUCAAAAGAGGACCAGCCUAUAACAGGAAUAAUAACUAUGAAUGCAUAAAAACAAAUCCCCUUUGUCAAUAAACAGUUUGUCUGUUUAUCAUGGUAGUUCUGCAAACUGAAGUAAGCCCCUCUACAACAAAACUAAGCAUUAAUAGUUCAACUUGCAAACUGAAGUAAGCCCCUCUACAACAAAACUAAGCAUUAAUAGUUCAACUUGCAAACUGAAGAUGUUGACCCAUCAACCUAAUCCAUCACCAGGCUAGAAUAUUAAUUACCAAAAAUCAUGAACUAAAUAGAUUUGGUAACAUCAUAAUUUUCUUAACUCUAUCUGAACACUUAAUAUUGUAGGAAUAACUCAUGUGCUCUUUGUAUCGCUAGAUAUAUUCGAAGUAAAUAAAACCCAACCCAAAAGAAACAGAAGCUCUUGGCCCAUCAUUCUGACUUAUAAAGCAAGGCUGACAUAAACAACCAUGAUGUUUAGGCUAAGCAUUCAUAAAAAUGGUGUACAAUACUCAAGGUCUUGACAUUCAGCAUAAAUAACAGUGUCGAUUGAAGGUGUAGGGAUGACAAGUACGCAAGGAAGACAUCAUUUAGGUACAAUGAUGACAAGCAUGAGUAGUCACUAUAUGUGCUAAUCUAGACUGCAAAUUUACAACUAUUACAUGAGAAGAUAAUAACUGGUAAAAAAUGUUAGACCACAAAUGAAGGCUUCUGCCAUGUUCACAUGAACAAUCUGGCAACACCAAAUCCCAGCAAUUUCAUUAACUAUUCAAAGGUUGCAUUCAGAUAAGCAACUCAACCAAAUAAAAUUCCAUACCCAUUAAUUCAGCCUCUGGAAAAAAAUGUAAGAUCACGGAUAAAGUUCCAGAACAAUUUUAGCUAAGUAAUCAUCAUAAUUAUUUUG
rnacentral:lncRNA from 1 species